AUGACAAAUAAAAGAAGGAACAAAGGUCAUACCAAAAAGGGCCAUGGCCACGUGUAGCCUAUUUGCUGCACGAACUAUACCUGAUGUGUGCCCAAGAACAAGGCCAUUAAGAAAUUUGUCAUUUGAAACAAAGUGGAGGCCACAGCAGUCAGGGACAUUUCUAAGCAAGCUUCUUCGACACCUAUGUGCUUCCCAAGCUGGAUAUGAAGUUACAUUACUGUGUGAGUUGUGCAGUUUAUAAUAUUAAAGCAAAGUAGUGAGGAAUCAAUCUCGUGAAGCUUGCAAGGACCGAACACCUCCACCCCUACUUAGACCUGCGGGUGCUGCCCCACGACCCCCACCAAAGCCCAUGUAA
rnacentral:lncRNA from 1 species